UCCCUGGUGGUCCAGUGGCUAAGACUCUGCAUUCUCAAUGCAGGGGGCCUGAGUUCGAUCCCUGGUCAGGGAA
rnacentral:tRNA from 1 species